AAAGGGAUAGGUGUGUCUGAGCUAAGCCUUUCCUCGGGCGGGGCUUGAUGUGGCUGCUGUGGUGGUUGGGGGUGCAGUUCCCAGGCCAAUGGAGUUAUGUUCCCAGGGGGAUUAUGGCUGCCUCUGUUGAGUCACACAGGUCACCAGGGAAGUGGGGGAAAGCUGGCAGUCACAGGCCUCACCCCUCUCCCACACAGCCCUCAGUCCUAAAGGCUGGUCUCACUCCCAUCCUGCCACGCAACAGCACAGGGUCUAUUUCGAGACAGCCAGUGACCAGGGCUGAGAACUUGCCCCAGACCACCAGCCUCCUCACUGAGAAAGCAAGCAGAAUCACAGUUUUUUGGAAUCUCAGGGAGCCUUCAGCGGCAAUCCAGUUCCUUCAAAGGGUCUGUGGAUUCUCUCAGUUUUCAUGAUUUCUAAACUGCUUUGCUGAUUUGAUCUGGGGCCCUGGAGUGCCAACAUCCUGUGAUAGCGGCUGAUUGUUGAUGCCUGGGAGGAUACAGCAGUGACGAUCCAAAUUUACAAGACUCAACAUGGUUUUCAAAACUUCCUUUUAAAAAAGAUGUUCCUGAGUUCUGGAAUCUGAACAAAAUAUGUCUGGUUAUUAUAUAAUUCUAAUGGUCCUUGUGGAUGCUACCAUUAGAGUUCAGUUAGUGUCUCAUCUAUCACUGUAAUAUUUGUAUUGUAACACUAAUCGUGGCAAAGUAUGAUUUGAUAAAUGCUCAUUCUCAAAUCUUUUAUUUUAGUGUGUUCAUGUAAGAUUAAUGACCAUGAUGACUUGAGAUAGAAUUUUUUGAUUUGUUGCUUUCUUUGUGUCUUCCAAUAUCACACAGAUUUGCAAAGAUAUCUAUGGCACAAGGGGAGAAAAUAAUAACUUAACUAGAGGAUAGGAGUAAGGCCUUCUAUUAACAAGACACUGUUGACAUUUCUAGGUAGAUUUCAGAAUUCUCCAGGCAUGCCUGGUAGAAAUUUUAGAAAUAAAAGCCAGGAAAGAAAGGCAGAAAGACUAUGUUGGGACAUUAGCAAUUUCUUCCUACCACAAUAUUUCUUUAUUCACUGUAAGUAAAUCUAAUGCUAAUUUAUUUAUCUGUCUAUCCUUUGAAUUACAAUUUAAAAUGUCAUAAAACAAAGAUUCAGAUAAGAUAGCUGAUUUGCUCAUAUUGAACGUCACAUUGAUUUUCACCAUCUGAGGCCCAUUGACAUCGUAUGGAUAUUAGAGAACCUGGAAUCACCAAGAUGGGGUUCUCCCACUGUUGUCUUCAUGAUCCAUGAUCAUUUGUACACAGUAAAUAUUUAUUUGAGUACAAUGACUUUACAAAUGAUACAUGCAGAUUCUGUAUACAAGGCUGAGAGUGAGUAGACCCAAUUUCAAACAAAAGGUUAUAUAUGUGACCAGUGAGAGUUUUCUAUCAUUCUCUAGGAGGCUAGACUAGGCAGAGUGCAAUUUAGGCCCCUGUGUGGUAAGGUGAGUUUUAAAAUUCCUCCUUUAUUUUCUCACUUGUUUUGGACAGCCAGGACCCAAAACAAAGCUAUUUAUUUGAAACCUCUCUCCUCUCUCUCUUCUUCCUCUUUCAUCAAUUUGAUUCCCUUUUUAUUAUCAUUAUUUAUGUUUUGUAUAACUAGAAAAAUAAUUUGUCAUGGAUUACAUCUUAUUUGCAAGAGGCUCUAGUAAGAUGGCAACAAGGCAUGCACAAUAUAUCAUAAUUUAGCAGCUUCUCUUGUAACUAUACUAAACUAGUGGUGGAAGAAAAUACAUAUAAACAACUCCGACAACAGAUUUUGAAUGAUCCAGUAACUUUGAUUUAUAUUUGGUAUUUGAUGGAACUGUAUUAGCAGUUAAAGCCAAUGGCUAAAUGAUUCCCAACACAAAAUGAGUCAGAAGUACAAAAGAAGCUUUACAAUGCACAAUAGAGAGCUCUGAGCCUCCCAGCUUAAAUUUCCAAAUUGCAGUGUAAAUUACAGGACUGCUUGUCAAUUUUAACUAACAGUUCUACCCAAUAGGGUCUAGCUAGGUAAUUCAUCCAUUAUUCCUUUAUGAAACAGUAAACACCAGCUAAAUUCCAUUGGCUUUUCUAAAUAAAAUUGCCUCAUCUCUCAUAUCUACUGCAGAGAAGGAGUGAAUCAACCUCUGACGACAGUAAGUCCCACACAACAAACAACAUGUGAAACCUGGAAUUAGUUAAAAAUGCUUUCCAUAUUUGUUAAUAGAAUUGGGUGCCAAUCAUCUUGAGAUGAUCUCAACCUUCCCAAGUUCUUUUGGUGGAAGGACUCUCACAUUCUUCUAUUUCCCCUCCUUACCCUAUAUUUUCUCUCAUCCCCAAAUAACUAUUUUCUCUUCACUUGUUUCCUCUAUGGCUUUCCCUGUCACAAAGAAGAAAUGAAUGAAAGAUUUGGAAGUCAAAAUCUAGCACUCCAAUUACCAACAUUAGCAGGAAGAGAAGAAUGUUCCAAAUAUCAACAAGAAUCUCAAAUCUAACCAAGCAAAAUAUGCAAUUAUGUAGGCAGAUGCUGGCUCAUCAGCCACUGAUAUAGACUGAUUUCUACCACUUCAUUAAUUUGACUUUCUUACUCUGGGCAAUUUGAUCAUACCCAUACAGCAUAUUUCUUAGCCAGAAAUAGAUUUGAUUGUUCUAGGCCAGGUGGGAAAGCCAAUAGAUUUGCACAAAUGCUUCACAGGGCAUCUGUAUUAUAGCAGGGAUGUGGGAAGUUUUAUUGUAGAGUUUGGAAGUGGACUGCUGAAUUCUCUUCCUUUAACCUAAUCAUGUCAUUCACGUGUGGAGCAUAGUCAGUCUUUACAUGUAUCUAUUGGUCUUUAUUGUUCAAUUUUUUUUUUUUUUUUUGAGAUGGAAUCUUGCUCUGUCACCCAGGCUGGAGUGCAGUGGCAUGAUCUCAGCUCACUGCAAAUUCCACCCACCAGAUUCAAGUGAUUCUCAUGCCUUAUCCUCUUGAGUAGUUGAGAUUACAGGUGCAUAUUGUCACACCUGGCUAAUUUUCGUAUUUUUAGUAGAGACGAGGUUUUGCCAUGUUGGCCAUGCUAGUCUGAAACUCCUGAACUCAAGUGAUCC
rnacentral:lncRNA from 10 species